UCGUCCUGAAAACGAAACGGAACAAAAGUUCAAGAUAUUGAUUUCGAAUCGUUUAUCAGGAUGAUG
rfam:Caenorhabditis elegans chromosome IV